UCGGGUAAGUUCCGACCUGCACGAAUGGCGUAAUGAUGGCCAGGCUGUCUCCACCCGAGACUCAGUGAAAUUGAACUCGCUGUGAAGAUGCAGUGUACCCGCGGCAAGACGGAAAGACCCCGUGAACCUUUACUAUAGCUUGACACUGAACAUUGAGCCUUGAUGUGUAGGAUAGGUGGGAGGCUUUGAAGUGUGGACGCCAGUCUGCAUGGAGCCGACCUUGAAAUACCACCCUUUAAUGUUUGAUGUUCUAACGUGGACCCGUGAUCCGGGUUGCGGACAGUGUCUGGUGGGUAGUUUGACUGGGGCGGUCUCCUCCUAAAGAGUAACGGAGGAGCACGAAGGUUGGCUAA
rnacentral:rRNA from 1 species